rnacentral:rRNA from 1 species
GUUGAUCCUGCCAGUAUUAUAUGCUGAUGUUAAAGAUUAAGCCAUGCAUGUGUAAGUUUAAAGACCAAGUAGGAUGAAACUGCGGACGGCUCAUUAUAACAGUAAUAGUUUCUUUGGUUAGUACGUACAAGGAUAACUUUGUGAAUGAUAAAGCUAAUACUUGAUACGAUCCGGGGAGUAUUUAUACUUCACGGCCAUCAACCAUAAGGUUGGUGAGAAGCGACGCUUUUCUGUGAGGAAGGGCGCCGUGACUAUUGAAGAAAGCUACGCUUUUUACAAGUAACCAAUGAGAAUUUCUGAUCUAUCAAUUUGUUGGUAGUAUCGAGGACUACCAAGAUUAUAACGGAUAACGAGGAAUUGGGGUUCGACAUCGGAGAGGGAGCUUUACAGAUGGCUACCACUUCUAAGGAAGGCAGCAGGCGCGUAAAUUACCCACUUUCGACAUGAAGAGGUAGUGACGACAAUUAACUCAGGAGGUGCCUAUGGUAUUUCCCGAAGGAAUGAUUAAGAAUUAAAUUCUCUUAAGAAAUCAAUUGGAGGGCAAGUCUGGUGCCAGCAGCCGCGGUAAUUCCAGCUCCAAUAGUG